rnacentral:ncRNA from 16 species
CUUUCCCCAGGAGAUGAAAUUACUCUUUAUAACCGCCGCUCUGGCUGAUGAUGUCUACGUUCAU